GGACAAUCAACGGACAUAGUGAUUGCGGAAGCAGUAAAUGUUGCUCUCAUAUGGCUGUCAGCUGAAAAGUCUGUACAGGACUGCAUGUCAUUUACAGCCAAAUAAAGAAAUAUGAUGGAAUCAAUUGAAAACUACACACAAAACUGACAAACAGCUAAUGUGCAAAAGAAGACAAACUGUACAAACACGAGAAGCAGCUGCAGCAUGGAAUAGAAGGGAAGAUGCUGCCAGAAUGCAGUUGGAAGGAAAGUCCCCAUUGCAAGAAGUGCUUUGUGCUGAUGAAUGGCUCCAAGGAGGCAGGGCCAGUAGUCCUGAGAGAGAGCCAGUUUGUUUGAGAUGGACUCUGAGGGAAGUUUAGACUGUGAUGGGUACUUUCAAGCAGACCAUUGGUUCAGUGC